GACGAACCGUGCGAACGUUAUUCGGAUUCACUGGGCUUAAAGGGCGCGUAGGCGGGCUCGCCAGUCAGGGGUGAAAGCCUCCAGCUCAACUGGAGAAGUGCCUUUGAUACUGCGAGUCUCGAGGGAGGUAGGGGCGUGCGGAACUUCCGGUGGAGCGGUGAAAUGCGUAGAUAUCGGAAGGAACACCGGUGGCGAAAGCGGCGCGCUGGACCUCUUCUGACGCUGAGGCGCGAAAGCCAGGGGAGCAAACGGG
rnacentral:rRNA from 1 species